rnacentral:rRNA from 1 species
AGGAAUAUUGGUCAAUGGGCGCAAGCCUGAACCAGCCAUGCCGCGUGCAGGAAGACGGCUCUAUGAGUUGUAAACUGCUUUUGUACUAGGGUAAUUUGCGGUACGUGUACCGUAUUGAAAGUAUAGUACGAAUAAGGAUCGGCUAACUCCGUGCCAGCAGCCGCGGUAAUACGGAGGAUCCAAGCGUUAUCCGGAUUUAUUGGGUUUAAAGGGUGCGUAGGCGGUUACUUAAGUCAGCGGUCAAAUGGCGGGGCUCAACCCCGUCCAGCCGUUGAAACUGGGUAGCUUGAGUCGGCGAGAAGUACGCGGAAUGCGCGGUGUAGCGGUGAAAUGCAUAGAUAUCGCGCAGAACUCCGAUUGCGAAGGCAGCGUACCGGCGCCGCACUGACGCUGAGGCACGAAAGCGUGGGUAUCGAACAG